ACGAACGCUGGCGGCGUGCCUAAUACAUGCAAGUAGAACGCUGAAGGAGGAGCUUGCUCUUCUGGAAGAGUUGCGAACGGGUGAGUAACGCGUAGGUAACCUGCCUGGUAGCGGGGGAUAACUAUUGGAAACGAUAGCUAAUACCGCAUAAGGUUGAAUAUCGCAUGAUAAUUGAUUAAAAGAUGCAAAUGCAUCACUACCAGAUGGACCUGCGUUGUAUUAGCUAGUAGGUGAGGUAACGGCUCACCUAGGCGACGAUACAUAGCCGACCUGAGAGGGUGAUCGGCCACACUGGGACUGAGACACGGCCCAGACUCCUACGGGAGGCAGCAGUAGGGAAUCUUCGGCAAUGGGGGCAACCCUGACCGAGCAACGCCGCGUGAGUGAAGAAGGUUUUCGGAUCGUAAAGCUCUGUUGUAAGAGAAGAACGAGUGUGAGAGUGGAAAGUUCACACUGUGACGGUAUCUUACCAGAAAGGGACGGCUAACUACGUGCCAGCAGCCGCGGUAAUACGUAGGCCCCGAGCGUUGUCCGGAUUUAUUGGGCGUAAAGCGAGCGCAGGCGGUUAGAUAAGUCUGAAGUUAAAGGCUGUGGCUUAACCAUAGUACGCUUUGGAAACUGUUUAACUUGAGUGCAGAAGGGGAGAGUGGAAUUCCAUGUGUAGCGGUGAAAUGCGUAGAUAUAUGGAGGAACACCGGUGGCGAAAGCGGCUCUCUGGUCUGUAACUGACGCUGAGGCUCGAAAGCGUGGGGAGCGAACAGGAUUAGAUACCCUGGUAGUCCACGCCGUAAACGAUGAGUGCUAGGUGUUAGGCCCUUUCCGGGGCUUAGUGCCGUAGCUAACGCAUUAAGCACUCCGCCUGGGGAGUACG
rnacentral:rRNA from 1 species